GAGUUUGAUCCUGGCUCAGAUUGAACGCUGGCGGCAGGCUUAACACAUGCAAGUCGAGCGGAGUGAUGGUGCUUGCACUAUCACUUAGCGGCGGACGGGUGAGUAAUGCUUAGGAAUCUGCCUAUUAGUGGGGGACAACAUUUCGAAAGGAAUGCUAAUACCGCAUACGUCCUACGGGAGAAAGCAGGGGAUCUUCGGACCUUGCGCUAAUAGAUGAGCCUAAGUCGGAUUAGCUAGUUGGUGGGGUAAAGGCCUACCAAGGCGACGAUCUGUAGCGGGUCUGAGAGGAUGAUCCGCCACACUGGGACUGAGACACGGCCCAGACUCCUACGGGAGGCAGCAGUGGGGAAUAUUGGACAAUGGGCGCAAGCCUGAUCCAGCCAUGCCGCGUGUGUGAAGAAGGCCUUAUGGUUGUAAAGCACUUUAAGCGAGGAGGAGGCUACUGAAGUUAAUACCUUCAGAUAGUGGACGUUACUCGCAGAAUAAGCACCGGCUAACUCUGUGCCAGCAGCCGCGGUAAUACAGAGGGUGCAAGCGUUAAUCGGAUUUACUGGGCGUAAAGCGCGCGUAGGCGGCUAAUUAAGUCAAAUGUGAAAUCCCCGAGCUUAACUUGGGAAUUGCAUUCGAUACUGGUUAGCUAGAGUGUGGGAGAGGAUGGUAGAAUUCCAGGUGUAGCGGUGAAAUGCGUAGAGAUCUGGAGGAAUACCGAUGGCGAAGGCAGCCAUCUGGCCUAACACUGACGCUGA
rnacentral:rRNA from 1 species